UAGAGUUUGAUCAUGGCUCAGAUUGACCCCUUGAGGCAUGCCUUACACAUGCAAGUCGAACGGCAGCACGGGCUUCGGCCUGGUGGCGAGUGGCGAACGGGUGAGUAAUGCAUCGGAACGUACCGUGUAAUGGGGGAUAACGUAGCGAAAGUUACGCUAAUACCGCAUACGCCCUGAGGGGGAAAGCGGGGGAUCGUAAGACCUCGCGUUAUACGAGCGGCCGAUGUCGGAUUAGCUAGUUGGUGGGGUAAAGGCCUACCAAGGCGACGAUCCGUAGCGGGUCUGAGAGGAUGAUCCGCCACACUGGGACUGAGACACGGCCCAGACUCCUACGGGAGGCAGCAGUGGGGAAUUUUGGACAAUGGGGGCAACCCUGAUCCAGCCAUGCCGCGUGAGUGAAGAAGGCCUUCGGGUUGUAAAGCUCUUUCGGCCGGGAAGAAAUCGUAUGGGUUAAUACCCUGUGCGGAUGACGGUACCGGCAUAAGAAGCACCGGCUAACUACGUGCCAGCAGCCGCGGUAAUA
rnacentral:rRNA from 1 species